UUAAGUUAUUAAGGGCGCACGGUGGAUGCCUUGGCACUAGAAGCCGAUGAAGGACGUUACUAACGACGAUAUGCUUUGGGGAGCUGUAAGUAAGCUUUGAUCCAGAGAUUUCCGAAUGGGGAAACCCAGCAUGAGUUAUGUCAUGUUAUCGAUAUGUGAAUACAUAGCAUAUCAGAAGGCACACCCGGAGAACUGAAACAUCUUAGUACCCGGAGGAAGAGAAAGAAAAUUCGAUUCCCUUAGUAGCGGCGAGCGAAACGGGAAGAGCCCAAACCAAAAAGCUUGCUUGUUGGGGUUGUAGGACACUCUAUACGGAGUUACAAAGGACGACAUUAGACGAAUCAUCUGGAAAGAUGAAUCAAAGAAGGUAAUAAUCCUGUAGUCGAAAAUGUUGUCUCUCUUGAGUGGAUCCUGAGUACGACGGAGCACGUGAAAUUCCGUCGGAAUCUGGGAGGACCAUCUCCUAAGGCUAAAUACUCUCUAGUGACCGAUAGUGAACCAGUACCGUGAGGGAAAGGUGAAAAGCACCCCGGAAGGGGAGUGAAAUAGAACCUGAAACCGUGUGCUUACAAGUAGUCAGAGCCCGUUAAUGGGUGAUGGCGUGCCUUUUGUAGAAUGAACCGGCGAGUUACGAUUUGAUGCAAGGUUAAGCAGUAAAUGUGGAGCCGUAGCGAAAGCGAGUCUGAAUAGGGCGUUUAGUAUUUGGUCGUAGACCCGAAACCAGGUGAUCUACCCUUGGUCAGGUUGAAGUUCAGGUAACACUGAAUGGAGGACCGAACCGACUUACGUUGAAAAGUGAGCGGAUGAACUGAGGGUAGCGGAGAAAUUCCAAUCGAACCUGGAGAUAGCUGGUUCUCUCCAAAAUAGCUUUAGGGCUAGCCUCAAGUGAUGAUUAUUGGAGGUAGAGCACUGUUUGGACGAGGGGCCCCUCUCGGGUUACCGAAUUCAGACAAACUCCGAAUGCCAAUUAAUUUAACUUGGGAGUCAGAACAUGGGUGAUAAGGUCCGUGUUCGAAAGGGAAACAGCCCAGACCACCAGCUAAGGUCCCAAAAUAUAUGUUAAGUGGAAAAGGAUGUGGCGUUGCCCAGACAACUAGGAUGUUGGCUUAGAAGCAGCCAUCAUUUAAAGAGUGCGUAAUAGCUCACUAGUCGAGUGACACUGCGCCGAAAAUGUACCGGGGCUAAACAUAUUACCGAAGCUGUGGAUUGUCCUUUGGACAAUGGUAGGAGAGCGUUCUAAGGGCGUUGAAGCAUGAUCGUAAGGACAUGUGGAGCGCUUAGAAGUGAGAAUGCCGGUGUGAGUAGCGAAAGACGGGUGAGAAUCCCGUCCACCGAUUGACUAAGGUUUCCAGAGGAAGGCUCGUCCGCUCUGGGUUAGUCGGGUCCUAAGCUGAGGCCGACAGGCGUAGGCGAUGGAUAACAGGUUGAUAUUCCUGUACCACCUAUAAUCGUUUUAAUCGAUGGGGGGACGCAGUAGGAUAGGCGAAGCGUGCGAUUGGAUUGCACGUCUAAGCAGUAAGGCUGAGUAUUAGGCAAAUCCGGUACUCGUUAAGGCUGAGCUGUGAUGGGGAGAAGACAUUGAGUCUUCGAGUCGUUGAUUUCACACUGCCGAGAAAAGCCUCUAGAUAGAAAAUAGGUGCCCGUACCGCAAACCGACACAGGUAGUCAAGAUGAGAAUUCUAAGGUGAGCGAGCGAACUCUCGUUAAGGAACUCGGCAAAAUGACCCCGUAACUUCGGGAGAAGGGGUGCUCUUUAGGGUUAACGCCCAGAAGAGCCGCAGUGAAUAGGCCCAAGCGACUGUUUAUCAAAAACACAGGUCUCUGCUAAACCGUAAGGUGAUGUAUAGGGGCUGACGCCUGCCCGGUGCUGGAAGGUUAAGAGGAGUGGUUAGCUUCUGCGAAGCUACGAAUCGAAGCCCCAGUAAACGGCGGCCGUAACUAUAACGGUCCUAAGGUAGCGAAAUUCCUUGUCGGGUAAGUUCCGACCCGCACGAAAGGCGUAACGAUUUGGGCACUGUCUCAACGAGAGACUCGGUGAAAUCAUAGUACCUGUGAAGAUGCAGGUUACCCGCGACAGGACGGAAAGACCCCGUGGAGCUUUACUGUAGCCUGAUAUUGAAAUUCGGCACAGCUUGUACAGGAUAGGUAGGAGCCUUUGAAACGUGAGCGCUAGCUUACGUGGAGGCGCUGGUGGGAUACUACCCUAGCUGUGUUGGCUUUCUAACCCGCACCACUUAUCGUGGUGGGAGACAGUGUCAAGCGGGCAGUUUGACUGGGGCGGUCGCCUCCUAAAAGGUAACGGAGGCGCUCAAAGGUUCCCUCAGAAUGGUUGGAAAUCAUUCAUAGAGUGUAAAGGCAUAAGGGAGCUUGACUGCGAGACCUACAAGUCGAGCAGGGUCGAAAGACGGACUUAGUGAUCCGGUGGUUCCGCAUGGAAGGGCCAUCGCUCAACGGAUAAAAGCUACCCCGGGGAUAACAGGCUUAUCUCCCCCAAGAGUUCACAUCGACGGGGAGGUUUGGCACCUCGAUGUCGGCUCAUCGCAUCCUGGGGCUGUAGUCGGUCCCAAGGGUUGGGCUGUUCGCCCAUUAAAGCGGUACGCGAGCUGGGUUCAGAACGUCGUGAGACAGUUCGGUCCCUAUCCGUCGUGGGCGUAGGAAAUUUGAGAGGAGCUGUCCUUAGUACGAGAGGACCGGGAUGGACAUACCUCUGGUGUACCAGUUGUCGUGCCAACGGCAUAGCUGGGUAGCUAUGUGUGGACGGGAUAAGUGCUGAAAGCAUCUAAGCAUGAAGCCCCCCUCAAGAUGAGAUUUCCCAACUUCGGUUAUAAGAUCCCUCAAAGAUGAUGAGGUUAAUAGGUUCGAGGUGGAAGCAUGGUGACAUGUGGAGCUGACGAAUACUAAUCGAUCGAAGACUUAAUCAA
rnacentral:rRNA from 4 species